rnacentral:rRNA from 1 species
GCACGGGCGGUGUUGCGUUUCGGAGGGUCCAGCACGCCGUCCCAUACCGCCUAAGUCAAGCUUGAACGCGGCCACUACCCAUGGAGGGUGACAGGCCCGUAUGGCGGCGCCCGCGAGGGUACCGAUGGGGCGGUCGGAAAGGGCCUCUCUCCGUAGAGUCGGGUUGCUUGAAAAUGCAGCCCAAAGUAGGUGGUAAACUCCAUCUAAGGCUAAAUAUGACCACGAGACCGAUAGCGAACAAGUACCGUGAGGGAAAGUUGAAAAGAACUUUGAAGAGAGAGUUCAAAAGUACGUGAAACCGUCAAGAGCCAAACGGGUGGAGGCUCGAAGGUCGAAUUGAGGGGAUUCAGCUCGUCGGCAUUUGUUGUUGUUGGCCGGUUGGAGAUGUCACGGUACAACCCUAUUUACCUUGGGUGUCCCUCCUUCCGAGCCGGCGUCGGCGGGCGUACUUCGCCUCUUAGUAGGUCGCCGCGACCCGUUGGAUUAUGGGGACGUCGAAGGCACGAACGGAUUGGUACCCCGCCGCUUAUCUCUUCUCUUACGAGGAGACGACUAGCGACUGGGGGAAACCCUCGUUGUCCUGGCUGCCCCCCGACGGUCGUUGAGAUGAGCCCCCCUUCGUGUCAACGAAGGGGGUCUCUCGCGGCGUGCUAAACCCAAAGGGCGUAAUGAAAGUGAAAAGGCUUGGUGCUGAGACGAGGAAGAUGAUGAUGACGGAGAAGGGAGGUUGUUGAUGCUGCUGUCGUCAUCAUCGGCGGCAGCAGCUCUCUUCUUCCCCCUCCUGACUUCUUUUUGGAAUCUCUCGACACCGCUGGCCAGGGCCGAUCCCCGACCGGUUGCCUUUUCCCGAUUUUCUACCGUCCUUCUCGGCUGGGUACGCGGGGUGAGCCAUUUUCCCUCGUCUCUGCCCGGUCGGGGUUACGGGGGCGGCGGAUGUGUCGGUGGGCGAAGGUCUCAUUUUUUUCACCUGUGGAAAUAAUAAGCUGCUGCAGUAAACAGCGGGGCGCAGGCCCGGGACUUGCCAUAGACGCCACGCGUUCUCCUAGGUGUUUUGUCUUUCUAGGCAUGCCGAACGGGAGCGAGUGUGCAGUCGGCAAGUACCACGAGCAGGCAUGUUGGGACCCGAAAGAUGGUGAACUAUGCCUGGCCAGGAUGAAGCCAGAGGAAACUCUGGUGGAGGUCCGUAGCGAUUCUGACGUGCAAAUCGAUCGUCAGAGCUGGGUAUAGGGGCGAAAGACUAAUCGAACCAUCUAGUAGCUGGUUCCCUCCGAAGUUUCCCUCAGGAUAGCUGGAACUCAACACCAGAUGAAUUUCAUCCGGUAAAGCGAAUGAUUAGAGGUCUUGGGGACGAAACGUCCUCAACCUAUUCUCAAACUUUAAAUGGGUGAGAUGCCGAGCUUGCUUAAAAGAUGAAGCUCGGCGAAGAAUCUGGUAAGCAGAACUGGCGCUGUGGGAUGAACCAAACGUCGAGUUAAGGGGCCUAAAUGAAUGCUCAUUCAGAUCCCAUCGAAAGGUGUUGGUUGCUAUAGACAGCAGGACGGUGGCCAUGGAAGUUGGAAUCCGCUAAGGAGUGUGUAACAACUCACCUGCCGAAGCAACUAGCCCUUAAAAUGGUAUGGCGCUCAAGCAUUCUCCCGAUACUCGACCGCCGGGGCACUACCGACCACACGGUCGGCGGUGGAUUUUUUUCUUCUCGUCGGCCUUAAGGUCUCGAAGCCCCGGCGAGUAGGAGGGUCGCGGUGGUGUGCGCUGAAGGGUUCGGCGUGAGCCGGCCUGGAGCCUCCACCGGUGCAGAUCUUGGUGGUAGUAGCAAAUAAUCGAGAGAGACUCCCUUGAAGGCCGAAGUGGAGAAGGGUUCCAUGUGAACAUCAGUUGGACAUGGGUUAGUCGCUCCUAAGCCCAAGGC